CAGGCUUAACACAUGCAAGUCGAGGGGCAGCAUGGUCUUAGCUUGCUAAGGCCGAUGGCGACCGGCGCACGGGUGAGUAACACGUAUCCAACCUGCCGUCUACUCUUGGACAGCCUUCUGAAAGGAAGAUUAAUACAAGAUGGCAUCAUGAGUCCGCAUGUUCACAUGAUUAAAGGUAUUCCGGUAGACGAUGGGGAUGCGUUCCAUUAGAUAGUAGGCGGGGUAACGGCCCACCUAGUCUUCGAUGGAUAGGGGUUCUGAGAGGAAGGUCCCCCACAUUGGAACUGAGACACGGUCCAAACUCCUACGGGAGGCAGCAGUGAGGAAUAUUGGUCAAUGGGCGAGAGCCUGAACCAGCCAAGUAGCGUGAAGGAUGACUGCCCUAUGGGUUGUAAACUUCUUUUAUAAAGGAAUAAAGUCGGGUAUGGAUACCCGUUUGCAUGUACUUUAUGAAUAAGGAUCGGCUAACUCCGUGCCAGCAGCCGCGGUAGUACGGAGGAUCCGAGCGUUAUCCGGAUUUAUUGGGUUUAAAGGGAGCGUAGAUGGAUGUUUAAGUCAGUUGUGAAAGUUUGCGGCUCAACCGUAAAAUUGCAGUUGAUACUGGAUAUCUUGAGUGCAGUUGAGGCAGGCGGAAUUCGUGGUGUAGCGGUGAAAUGCUUAGAUAUCACGAAGAACUCCGAUUGCGAAGGCAGCCUGCUAAGCUGCAACUGACAUUGAGGCUCGAAAGUGUGGGUAUCAAACAGGAUUAGAUACCCUGGUAGUCCACACGGUAAACGAUGAAUACUCGCUGUUUGCGAUAUACUGCAAGCGGCCAAGCGAAAGUGUUAAGUAUUCCACCUGGGGAGUACGCCGGCAACGGUGAAACUCAAAGGAAUUGACGGGGGCCCGCACAAGCGGAGGAACAUGUGGUUUAAUUCGAUGAUACGCGAGGAACCUUACCCGGGCUUAAAUUGCAGAUGAAUUACGGUGAAAGCCGUAAGCCGCAAGGCAUCUGUGAAGGUGCUGCAUGGUUGUCGUCAGCUCGUGCCGUGAGGUGUCGGCUUAAGUGCCAUAACGAGCGCAACCCUUGUUGUCAGUUACUAACAGGUUCCGCUGAGGACUCUGACAAGACUGCCAUCGUAAGAUGUGAGGAAGGUGGGGAUGACGUCAAAUCAGCACGGCCCUUACGUCCGGGGCUACACACGUGUUACAAUGGGGGGUACAGAGGGCCGCUACCACGCGAGUGGAUGCCAAUCCCCAAAACCUCUCUCAGUUCGGACUGGAGUCUGCAACCCGACUCCACGAAGCUGGAUUCGCUAGUAAUCGCGCAUCAGCCACGGCGCGGUGAAUACGUUCCCGGGCCUUGUACACACCGCCCGUCAAGCCAUGGGAGCCGGGGGUACCUGAAGUGCGUAACCGCGAGGAGCGCCCUAGGGUAAAACUGGUGACUGGGGC
rnacentral:rRNA from 1 species